AUAAGCGGAGGACAAGAAAUCAACAGAGAUUGCCUCAGUAACGGCGAGUGAAGCGGCAACAGCUCAAAUUUGAAAUCUGGCUCCCUUGGGGGUCCGAGUUGUAAUUUGCAGAGGGUGCUUUGGCAUCGGCUGCGGUCUAAGUUCCUUGGAACAGGACGUCGCAGAGGGUGAGAAUCCCGUACGUGGCCGCCAGCCUUUGCCGUGUAAAGCCCCUUCGAAGAGUCGAGUUGUUUGGGAAUGCAGCUCUAAACAGGAGGUAAAUUCCUUCCAAAGCUAAAUACCGGCCAGAGACCGAUAGCGCACAAGUAGAGUGAUCGAAAGAUGAAAAGCACUUUGGAAAGAGAGUCAAAAAGCACGUGAAAUUGUUGAAAGGGAAGCGCUUGCAGCCAGACGCGCCUGCGGUCGUUCAUCCGGGCUUCUGCCCGGUGCACUCCCCCGCAGGUGGGCCAGCGUCAGCUUGGGUGGCCGGAUAAAAGCCCGCUAAACGUACCUCCCCCGGGAGGACUUAUAGGGCGGGUGGCAUACGGUCAGCCUGGGCUGAGGACCGCGCUUCGGCGAGGAUGCUGGCGUAAUGGUGGCAAGCGGCCCGUCUUGAAACACGGACCAAGGAGUCUAACGUCUAUGCGAGUGUUUGGGUGUCAAGCCCGAUCGCGCAAUGAAAGUGAACGGAGGUGAGAUCCCUUGCGGGUGCAUCAUCGACCGAUCCUGAAGUCUUCGGAUGGAUUUGAGUAAGAGCGUAGCCGUUGGGACCCGAAAGAAGGUGAACUAAGCUUGAAUAGGGUGAAGCCAGAGGAAACUCUGGUGGAGGCUCGCAGCGGUUCUGACGUGCAAAUCGAUCGUCAAAUUUGGGCUUAGGGGCGAAAGACUAAUCGAACUUUCUAGUAGCUGGUUCCUGCCGAAGUUUCCCUCAGGAUAGCAGUGACGUUUUCAGUUUUAUGAGGUAAAGCGAAUGAUUAGAGGACUGGGGGUUGAAACAACCUUCACCUAUUCUCAAACUUUAAAUAUGUAAGAAGUCC
rnacentral:rRNA from 1 species